GACGAACGCUGGCGGCGUGCUUAACACAUGCAAGUCGAACGGAAAGGCCCUGCUUUUGUGGGGUGCUCGAGUGGCGAACGGGUGAGUAACACGUGAGUAACCUGCCCUUGACUUUGGGAUAACUUCAGGAAACUGGGGCUAAUACCGGAUAGGAGCUCCUGCUGCAUGGUGGGGGUUGGAAAGUUUCGGCGGUUGGGGAUGGACUCGCGGCUUAUCAGCUUGUUGGUGGGGUAGUGGCUUACCAAGGCUUUGGCGGGUAGCCGGCCUGAGAGGGUGACCGGCCACAUUGGGACUGAGAUACGGCCCAGCCUCCUACGGGAGGCAGCAGUGGGGAAUAUUGCACAAUGGGCGGAAGCCUGAUGCAGCAACGCCGCGUGCGGGAUGACGGCCUUCGGGUUGUAAACCGCUUUCGCCUGUGACGAAGCGUGAGUGACGGUAAUGGGUAAAGAAGCACCGGCUAACUACGUG
rnacentral:rRNA from 1 species